CACGUAGGCGGAUAUUUAAGUCAGGGGUGAAAUCCCAGAGCUCAACUCUGGAACUGCCUUUGAUACUGGGUAUCUUGAGUAUGGAAGAGGUAAGUGGAAUUCCGAGUGUAGAGGUGAAAUUCGUAGAUAUUCAGAGGAACACCAGUGGCGAAGGCGGCUUACUGGUCCAUUACUGACGCUGAGGUGCGAAAGCGUGGGGAGCAAACA
rnacentral:rRNA from 1 species